rnacentral:rRNA from 1 species
UACGUAGGGGGCAAGCGUUGUCCGGAAUCAUUGGGCGUAAAGCGCGUGUAGGCGGCCCGGUAAGUCCGCUGUGAAAGUCGGGGGCUCAACCCUCGGAUGCCGGUGGAUACUGUCGGGCUAGAGUGCGGGAGAGGCGAGUGGAAUUCCUGGUGUAGCGGUGAAAUGCGCAGAUAUCGGGAAGAACACCUAUGGCGAAGGCAGCUCUCUGGGACGGUACUGACGCUGAGACGCGAAAGCGUGGGGAGCGAACAGG